GAUUUGAAAGGCGCUUUCGGGUGUCGCUGAUGGAUGGACCCGCGGUGCAUUAUCUAGUUGGUGAGGUAACGGCUCACCAAGGCCACGAUGCAUAGCCGACCUGAGAGGGUGAUCGGCCACAUUGGGACUGAGACACGGCCCAAACUCCUACGGGAGGCAGCAGUAGGGAAUCUUCGGCAAUGGACGAAAGUCUGACCGAGCAACGCCGCGUGAGUGAAGAAGGUUUUCGGAUCGUAAAACUCUGUUGUUAGAGAAGAACAAGGAUGAGAGUAACUGUUCAUCCCUUGACGGUAUCUAACCAGAAAGCCACGGCUAACUACGUGCCAGCAGCCGCGGUAAUACGUAGGUGGCAAGCGUUGUCCGGAUUUAUUGGGCGUAAAGCGAGCGCAGGCGGUUUCUUAAGUCUGAUGUGAAAGCCCCCGGCUCAACCGGGGAGGGUCAUUGGAAACUGGGAGACUUGAGUGCAGAAGAGGAGAGUGGAAUUCCAUGUGUAGCGGUGAAAUGCGUAGAUAUAUGGAGGAACACCAGUGGCGAAGGCGGCUCUCUGGUCUGUAACUGACGCUGAGGCUCGAAAGCGUGGGGAGCAAACAGGAUUAGAUACCCUGGUAGUCCACGCCGUAAACGAUGAGUGCUAAGUGUUGGAGGGUUUCCGCCCUUCAGUGCUGCAGCUAACGCAUUAAGCACUCCGCCUGGGGAGUACGACCGCAAGGUUGAAACUCAAAGGAAUUGACGGGGGCCCGCACAAGCGGUGGAGCAUGUGGUUUAAUUCGAAGCAACGCGAAGAACCUUACCAGGUCUUGACAUCCUUUGACCACUCUAGAGAUAGAGCUUCCCCUUCGGGGGCAAAGUGACAGGUGGUGCAUGGUUGUCGUCAGCUCGUGUCGUGAGAUGUUGGGUUAAGUCCCGCAACGAGCGCAACCCUUAUUGUUAGUUGCCAUCAUUCAGUUGGGCACUCUAGCAAGACUGCCGGUGACAAACCGGAGGAAGGUGGGGAUGACGUCAAAUCAUCAUGCCCCUUAUGACCUGGGCUACACACGUGCUACAAUGGGAAGUACAACGAGUUGCGAAGUCGCGAGGCUAAGCUAAUCUCUUAAAGCUUCUCUCAGUUCGGAUUGCAGGCUGCAACUCGCCUGCAUGAAGCCGG
rnacentral:rRNA from 1 species